rnacentral:rRNA from 1 species
UACGUAGGUGGCAAGCGUUGUCCGGAUUUACUGGGCGUAAAGAGCGCGCAGGCGGUCGUUCAAGUCGCGUGUGAAAGCCCCCGGCUCAACUGGGGAGGGUCACGCGAUACUGAUCGACUCGAAGGCAGGAGAGGGUAGUGGAAUUCCCGGUGUAGUGGUGAAAUGCGUAGAUAUCGGGAGGAACACCAGUGGCGAAGGCGGCUCACUGGCCCGGUUACUGACGCUGAGGCGCGAAAGCGUGGGGAGCAAACAGG